UACGAAGGGGGGCUAGCGUUGCUCGGAAUUACUGGGCGUAAAGGGCGCGUAGGCGGCACUGUUAGUCAGGCGUGAAAGUCCUGGGCUCAACCUGGGAACUGCGCUUGAUACGGCAGAGCUAGAGGAUGGAAGAGGCUCGCGGAAUUCCCAGUGUAGAGGUGAAAUACGUAGAUAUCGAGAAGAACACCAAUAGCGAAAGCACUCUGCUGGGCCGAAACUGACAUUGAGAGACGAAAGCUAGGGGAGCG
rnacentral:rRNA from 1 species